rnacentral:rRNA from 1 species
UCGCGAAAACUUUGCAAUACACGAAAGUGUGACAGGGUCAUCCCGAGUGCCGACCGCUGAGGUUGGCUUUUACCCAGUCUAGAAAGCUGGGGGAAUAAGGAGAGGGCAAGUCUGGUGUCAGCCGCCGCGGUAAUACCAGCUCUCCGAGUGGUGUGGACGUUUAUUGGGCCUAAAGCAUCCGUAGCUGGCUGAACAAGUCCCCUGUUAAACCCACCGAUUUAAUCGUUGGUCUGCGGGGGAUACUGCUCGGCUAGGGGACGAGAGAGGCAGACGGUAUUCCCGGGGUAGGGGUGAAAUCCUAUAAUCCCGAGAAGACCACCAGUGGCGAAGGCUGUCUGCUAGAACGCGCCCGACGGUGAGGGAUGAAAGCUGGGGGAGCGAACCGGAUUAGAUACCCGGGUAGUCCCAGCUGUAAACGAUGCAGACUAGGUGUUUGGACGGCCACGUGCCGUUCUAGUGCCGCAGGGAAGCUGUUAAAGUCGUCGCCGCCGUGGGGAGUACGAGUCGACAAGUAUUAGUAAAACGUUAAAGGUAAGUUGGGGACGGGGAGCCAACCG